GUGAAUCAUCGAAUUUUUGAACGCAAAUUGCACUCUCUUCGGAGAGUAUGCCUGUUUGAGGGUCAGCCUAAAAAAAAAAAUCGACAUAGUCGCUGUUUCGCGGUGACAUUCGUCUGAAAUUUGGUCAUCUUAAACCUUUUGGUUUUAUGUUGCCUAAAAUUUUCUUUUCGUUUCCACGAACUGUUAUAAGAUUUAUUUCUUAUACGCUUAAGAUAUCGAUCUUUAUUAGAAGCAGAC
rnacentral:misc_RNA from 1 species